UAGGGAAUCUUCGGCAAUGGACGAAAGUCUGACCGAGCAACGCCGCGUGAGUGAAGAAGGUUUUCGGAUCGUAAAACUCUGUUGUUAGAGAAGAACAAGGACGUUAGUAACUGAACGUCCCCUGACGGUAUCUAACCAGAAAGCCACGGCUAACUACGUGCCAGCAGCCGUGGUAAUACGUAGGUGGCAAGCGUUGUCCGGAUUUAUUGGGCGUAAAGCGAGCGCAGGCGGUUUCUUAAGUCUGAUGUGAAAGCCCCCGGCUCAACCGGGGAGGGUCAUUGGAAACUGGGAGGCUUGAGUGCAGAAGAGGGGAGUGGAAUUCCAUGUGUAGCGGUGAAAUGCGUAGAUAUAUGGAGGAACACCAGUGGCGAAGGCGGCUCUCUGGUCUGUAACUGACGCUGAGGCUCGAAAGCGUGGGGAGCAAACAGG
rnacentral:rRNA from 1 species